UUUGGCAAAAGUGAUGCUGUGGCAGUGUCUUGCCCAGACUUAUGAUAGUGGGGGCUUCCAUUCCUGUCUUUUGGAACACUUGCCCCUGGAAGUCUGAGCCUUCAUGUAAGAAGUUUGGCUACUCUGCUGGAGAGGCCUCCUGGAGAGUACCCAAGAAUCUACCAAAAGGAGGUGGAGGUUGGCUCACGCAUCAGGCAUUUCCUUAGGAAAUCCCACCAUUGUCUGAUUGGGAAGGAAUGGCUUUCCCGACUGGUGCGACUAGGAAGAUCAUCCUCUGAAGGAAAAAACCCAGACGUUCUGUCUCCAAUAGAUUCCCAGUAUUCCCACCGUCCCAGCCUGUGGAGCUCCAUGCUUGUACCUUGUGCACUUUCUGAAUAACAAAGGUGCACUGGUUUUCGGCAGCACAGUGAGGACAGAAAGCCACAGAAAAUGAUCAUUACUGGAUGCUAAGGGAGGAAAAAAUCUCCAGGAAAAUCUAGAAUCACUGUUAUAUCUACUAGUACAUAAUGAAUGGCACAUAUUGAUUCUCUGAAAAUCUUCAUGAGAGGGCAAGGCUGUUUCCAGAAGAAGGAUGCAGAAUAGAAAUUGUCUUUUCCACAUAACGAACAGUGGUCCAAACAGUCCCAAUUCUUGUACAAGUCUGCAACAUCAUAAUAUCUGCAACUGAGAAGUUCCAAGAGAC
rnacentral:lncRNA from 1 species